rnacentral:misc_RNA from 1 species
GAUGAAGAACGCAGCGAAAUGCGAUAAGUAAUGUGAAUUGCAGAAUUCAGUGAAUCAUCGAAUCUUUGAACGCACCUUGCGCCCUUUGGCUAUUCCGAAGGGCAUGCCUGUUUGAGUAUCAUGAACACCUCAACCCUCAUGGUUUGCCAUGUGGGCUUGGACCUUGGGGGUCUUGCUGGAUUGUAGUCAGCUCCCCUUAAAUGAAUCAGCUUGCCAGUGUCUGGUGGCAUCACAGGUGUGAUAAUUAUCUACGCUUGUGGUUUUACAUCAGGUAACCUUCAGAGAUGGGGGUUCACUGGGGCUUACAAAAGGUCUCUCCUCAGUGAGGACAGCUCUUUGAAUGUUUGAUCUCAAAUCAGGUAGGACUACCCGCUGAACUUAAGCAUAUCAAUAAGCGGAGGA